rnacentral:rRNA from 1 species
GUCCUAGCCGUAAACACUGUGAGCUAAAUACGGCGUAAACUUCGUGUUUGCGCUGUAUUGAAACGAAGGUGAAAGCUCACCACCUGGGAAGUAUCGUCGCAAGGCUGAAACUUAAAGGAAUUGGCGGGGGAGCACUACAAGGGGUGCGGCGUGCGGUUUAAUUGAAUUCAACGCCGGAAAUCUCACCAGGAGCGACGGCAGGAUGAAGGCCAGUCUAAAGGGCUUGCCUGACGAGCCGAGAGGUAUUGCAUGGCCGCCGU